UUGAUGAUGGAGCGGUUAACUGUGAAGACGGAGGAGCACCACCGCUGUUGAAGACCAUCUCAUCUGAUCGGCUAUUCCGACCUCGAUCUUUCCCUCUCCGAUUUUGGUUUUCUCGGCUAAGCGCCUAUUGCGUGGAGGGUCGUCGUUGCCAGCGGCCAUUUAAGGCCGUUUCUGGCCGGCGGCGGUUAUUCCGAGAAAGCCCGUUGUUGCCGGUGGCUAUUUGAGGCUGUUUCUGGCGGCAGCGGAUAUUUCGGGGAGGCCCGUUGUUGUCGGCGGCCGGUUUGAGUCUGUUUCUGGCGGAGUCGGCCUUCAGAUUUCUCGAAGAUUGCUGAAAUAAGGAGUCAUUUGUUGACAUGGAAGGAGUUGUUAUGGUUUCUCUUGAGGCUAUUAAAGGCGCCCCAGCAGUUACUCCUAAAUCAAGAACUUGUCUGGCAUUGGAUAGAAGGAAGGAAUUAAUGCUGGAUUAGUUGAUCUCACAACAUUGCAAAACUUGUUAAAUUCAAGUAGUGACGAAGAUUCACCAUGAGGCUGCAACUGUGCUUCCUAUAUAUGUUGAGGAUCCUGCCAGAAGUGAAGUUGAAAUUGAGAUGGCUUUGGAGGCCGGAGAACAACGUCCUCGGGUGAUGAUAGUGGCUUGCUACAUGACAAGGCAAUUCCGUGUGUUGCCGUAGCGGCACCGAGCCAAAGCCUUCUUUGUUUUGUGACAACAAUGAUGAUACUUUUAGAUCCGAGUCGAAUUGGUUUUGUUGUUUUCAUUUUUCCUUUUUUUAUUAGGUUGAUGUACAAGUUGUAUUGAUGGUGAUAAUGUAACUGUUUGAUGAUCUUCGUGGCCGUAGUUGCCUUCGUAUUGACGGCGCAACAGUUGUUGCUGUGAUGAUUUGAUAUUAAUAGUUAUAUUCAAAUACUGAUUAACCCCGCCGCGAAGCGCGGGUGGGAAAAUUCCUAGUUUAUUUAA
rnacentral:lncRNA from 1 species